GAUAAACUUUGUUUAGCCCUCUAUGACUUUCCAAGAACUUCUUCACACAAGUGACUGCCUUUUCAUUGCUUCAGCACUUCAUAGACUUCAACAAAUUCAUAACCACUGGUCUAAGUGCCCUCCCUUGAUAUGUGAUAUGUGACCACGGCUUUGAAGAACCACCACAGGGGGUGUGAACACACUACAUGGAGUACCUAUGCAACUGGAGUGAUGUUUCAUGUCUCCACUUCCUGUUUAAGUCAUGAAAUCACAAGCAUCAAUGUGUGAGCAUUCCUCAUGAACAGCUGUUUACAAAUGCUUUGUGAACUCUGCAGGUAUCUGAGGUGAAAAGUAGCGCCAGUGACAUAAAACCACAGUGGAACAAUACAAGUUUAGCGUAUGGAAAAUGAGGGUUUUUUGGCUACAGUACAAUGAUUUUGAGAUAUGAAGGAUGACUUGUUUGGUUUCUAACUCUGCUCUCCACUGUCAAACUUGUAAAAUAAAAUGAGGCAGUAUGAAACAUUAAAAUUUCAGCCAUCGUCUUCAUUAAUUUUUUAAAAAGCAGACUCAUCCUGACAAUUAACAUUUCUCUGGUAGGCAUUUUGUAAAGAAAGGGUCAUUUGGCACUUCUUUAUGGUUCAGCAGACUAAAGCAGUUUCAUCCCACAGUGUGAGGAGAACUUGAAGUCCUGUUAGCAGCCAUUUUGUCUUAAAAGCAAGGAUUGCCAAGCACAAAUGACUCUUUUAAAUGGUAAUACAAUAUAUAACAGUUAGCAGGGUCUCUCAUAUCUGGCAUGUCUCCAGAACAUCAGGCCAUAGCAGUUUCAGAAGUUUAUAUUCUCUUGCAGUAAUAAGUGUCGUACUGCAUUAAAGUUGCCCUCCUUCCCUACCGACAUAAACUGCAUUACUGAGACUUUUCAUACUGAAUGCAAGAUUACAACCUGGAACUAUGUUGUGUAUUUCAGAUUUCAAAUAGAUGAGUGAGUCUGUUUUGAAUGCGUAAAAGACAGGAGUCACUGGAAGCUCCUGUCCUGCAAAAGCAUCAUCACAAGGCAACUAUGGUCCCAGGAACACUGUCUCCCACUAAUGGAAAAUCCAACAGCUCUGAACACCCCUCCAUGGACCAUAGGAUUUCAGCAUAAACUGGUUUUCAAUACACCCUGUAUUUUAAAUGUAUAAAAAUAUGUGAAGUUUUAAAGUCGAUAGUGAUUCCCCUUUGGCACAGAAUAAAGAAUAACAUUAAUUACA
rnacentral:lncRNA from 1 species